GUAGGUGGCAAGCGUUGUCCGGAAUUAUUGGGCGUAAAGCGCGCGCAGGCGGUCCUUUAAGUCUGAUGUGAAAGCCCACGGCUCAACCGUGGAGGGUCAUUGGAAACUGGGGGACUUGAGUACAGAAGAGGAAAGCGGAAUUCCAAGUGUAGCGGUGAAAUGCGUAGAGAUUUGGAGGAACACCAGUGGCGAAGGCGGCUUUCUGGUCUGUAACUGACGCUGAGGCGCGAAAGCGUGGGGAGCAAACAGGGAUUAGAUACCCUGGUAGUCCACGCCGUCAACGAUGAGUGCUAAGUGUUAGGGGGGUUUCCGCCCCCCUUAGUGCUGCAGCUAACGCAUUAAGCACUCCGCCUGGGAGUACGGCCGCAAGGCUG
rnacentral:rRNA from 1 species